rnacentral:lncRNA from 1 species
AAUGAGAUUCAGACAUAAAUAAAUGAAAUAAGCGUAACAUUAAAAUACACAAGGAUGGAUCCCAAACUCCUAAGAGUUUCACCAUCUACCAAAUUCAAAACUAGGUUAAGACAAGGAGGAAUGUAGGUCCUAAUAUGUCAUCAUGAUGAAUGGAAAUGGAAUACCAUCCAAAGAAUCAUAGGAGCAAGGUACAAGGAUAACAUGAUCAAAGAAAUC